GCAAACGGACACUAACAUUUCAUCCCAUGUUGGAGACACAUUCAGCAGGCCUGAUACUCGAGCAGAUAAUAUGUCCUUCACUGCCCUAUUUUUCAGGAC